rnacentral:rRNA from 1 species
AUGACGCUGGCGGCAGGCUAACACAUGCAGUCGAGCGGAUGAAGGGAGCUUGCUCCUGGAUUCAGCGGCGGACGGGUGAGUAAUGCCUAGGAAUCUGCCUGGUAGUGGGGGAUAACGUCCGGAAACGGGCGCUAAUACCGCAUACGUCCUGAGGGAGAAAGUGGGGGAUCUUCGGACCUCACGCUAUCAGAUGAGCCUAGGUCGGAUUAGCUAGUUGGUGGGGUAAAGGCCUACCAAGGCGACGAUCCGUAACUGGUCUGAGAGGAUGAUCAGUCACACUGGAACUGAGACACGGUCCAGACUCCUACGGGAGGCAGCAGUGGGGAAUAUUGGACAAUGGGCGAAAGCCUGAUCCAGCCAUGCCGCGUGUGUGAAGAAGGUCUUCGGAUUGUAAAGCACUUUAAGUUGGGAGGAAGGGCAGUAAGUUAAUACCUUGCUGUUUUGACGUUACCAACAGAAUAAGCACCGGCUAACUUCGUGCCAGCAGCCGCGGUAAUACGAAGGGUGCAAGCGUUAAUCGGAAUUACUGGGCGUAAAGCGCGCGUAGGUGGUUCAGCAAGUUGGAUGUGAAAUCCCCGGGCUCAACCUGGGAACUGCAUCCAAAACUACUGAGCUAGAGUACGGUAGAGGGUGGUGGAAUUUCCUGUGUAGCGGUGAAAUUGCGUAGAUAUACGGAAGGAACACCAGUGGGCGAAAGGCGACCACCUGGACUGAUACUGACACUGGAGGUGCGAAAGCGUGGGGGAAGCAACACAGGAUUAGAUACCCUGGUAAGUCAACGCCGUAAACGAAUGUCGACUAACCGUUGGGGA